rnacentral:lncRNA from 1 species
CCUCGUCAGGACCUGGCUCUGCCCUCGGAGUCAGUCUGGAUCCAGGAGUGAUUCAUCUUACACAGAUGAGAGGGGGGAUAAAAAGAAAAAGAACAGUCAGGACAAAUGUGUUUUCAAUGGUGCUUAGCAGCAGGGAGACCAUUGAGACUUCAGAGCAAUGCAACUGGAGUGUGACAUCAUAAUACGGUACGUACAUGCGGAGUGGGGCGAAGAGGACUUUGCACACACAUUCCUUCCCUCUCCCUUUUGGAUUGGAUGCCAUGUAUAUUCAUUUCUCUGCCAAGCAGAAUGCUGCAGUCUGCUCUCUUCAAGACCACUCACAAAUUAGCUCUGUUUCCCUGUUUUUAAAAAUCUUGCCACCAUUAAUGCUCAUCCCUGGGAGUCCCUCACAGGACAGUGGCAUGAAAGGGUGGGCUUGGCACCCUGGUGAUUUCCCUAAGAUCAACUCCAUAGAAUGUACGGAAAUAUAAUUGCCUCAAACAGACUCUCAGACACACAACAAUGGAUUUAUUGUUAAAAUCCCUUGGCAAUGUGCAGAGCAGAAACCAUCUUUUCAAGAAACCCAAAAUAUUCCAUUCCCAUUAGGUUUUUAAAUAUCUCGUAAGCUCAAUUUCUUUCCAGAACUAUGGGUCUGUGGAUCUUCUUAUAGAAACCCAUUACCAUGUGGCUGUUUAACAAAUCCGUGCCUGCUUAAAAUUAUAAAUGACAGCCUAUUUCAUAAAGAGAAAAGUCCUCUUUGACAGGAAAACAAUCUCGGUGGCUUCUCCUUGGAUAACAAAUGGGUUUGUGUCAGGCCCAGCACCAUGGCUGUUUCCAAAAUAGUGUAGCAAUGGACUGCCAUUUCUAUUUCAGGGGUCCAAAUUAAGGGGUUUGAAGAAAUGAGUGGCUACCUGUGAGUCUGAAUUAUUUCUACCUGGAGAAAAUUAUCAUGAUUUGCUAUGGAUCUACAUUCAUAACUUUAAAAACUGACCGUCUUCCUUAUUUUUUGCUCUAAAGAUUUCUUGUCAGAUACAGUGUCAGAGGUCACUGUCAGAGUGUCCCUUUGGUACCCAUUAACUAUACCAGCAAACUUGUUCACUAUUGAUCCACUAUGUCUAAGUAUCUAUUAUGGUGGAUAUAAAAGGUGGCUUCACAUCUUUCUAAACAGAUAAUUCAUAAAGGCCAAGGGGUCAUGGCUUGUGAUGUAUUAUUCUUUCACUGUAACUGUGACUGAAUGGAACGAGAGAGAGGGGAAAAGAAGGGGGUGCUAAGGGUCAUGGGUGUUAGACUAAAGAGGUAGAAACCUCUAUGUCAAUUGGACACAUUAACAUCCAUAUAAAUAAUAAAAGGCAUUAAUAAUAUUUGUUCAUGACCUCAUUAUCGAUUCAUUCUCUCAGAAGCAGAGGCUCCUAGAAUGAAUGAAGACAGAGUUGAUUUUUUUACUACCAAAGUUCAGUUGAGGUUGAACUCUAAAAUGGAAGUCAAUUGAAGACAGUAAAAUAUAGUCUGGCAGCCAUAUGUUGGGUCCUAGGAUUGAUAUAUCUUGCAGGUAGUGCAUCAUCUGGGGCAAAGCAAGAGUUUUGGGGAACAGAAGCCUCAAAUAUGAAGUGUGAGGAUCUGCUGGAUCCUGAUGGGCUCAGCACAUCCCCAUGUUCCUUUGGGAUUAUUUGAUUCAUCAUGUUCUGUAACCUCCGCUGGUUCAUAUUGAACAUUCAGCAAUACACCACAGAGGCCGUUACUGAUGUUCCCCACCUUCCCAUCCUAAAGUAAAGCAUCUCAUUAAGAGAACAGUAAGGAUCUAAUGAGUGAGCCUUGUUCACAAGUUAGCUGACUUUGGGCUCAUUUAAUUCCGUUUAUGGUCCUUCACCCACUGGAGAACCCAGAGAUGGUGCACUUUCUUUUUUUUUUUUUUUUUUUCAACGUUUAUUUAUUUUUGGGACAGAGAGAGACAGAGCAUGAACGGGGGAGGGGCAGAGAGAGAGGGAGACACAGAAUCGGAAACAGGCUCCAGGCUCUGAGCCAUCAGCCCAGAGCCCGACGCGGGGCUCGAACUCACGGACCGCGAGAUCGUGACCUGGCUGAAGUCGGACGCUUAACCGACUGCGCCACCCAGGCGCCCCAUGGUGCACUUUCUUAAGACUACAGUUUGGAGGAAAGUAAAUUGAGAUGAAUCAUGGUGAGAUGAGAUAGUUAAAAUGUCAUGCUCCAUAAGUUUGAAUGCAUCCUUCAAGUUCUGAACAGUAAAAUGCAACUGAACACUGAAACAAGGGAAACAAAGAAAAAGCAGGUAACUAACAAUACAAAUCCUCCUUCUUUGACAAGGACACUUCAUGGGGGAAACCAAACAGCACCUUUUCAGAGCCAUUCCUGAGCACACACCUGGGAGCACAAAGGCACACAUCCAUAAUCCCUCCUGAUUUUACUUUCCUUUUACUAUUUUACCCAUUAGGGCUCAGGGGAUGGCACAUCAAAAUUUUAAGGUUUCAAAGACAGAUAAUAAACUACUAGCUUUAUUUCUAUUUAUAAAUGCUAGUUGAGGGAAAGUAGCUACACUGGCUGGACAAAUUCCAAAUUGGCCCUGGUAAAUGUGGAACCUGGUGGUGAUGUGUUUCCAGAGUCAGAAUAGGCCCUUUUGGCUGAAGAAGAGGGUUGAAGAAAGGGUUGGGGUGUGCAUGGGCAGAACUGGGAGCUGCAGAAUUGCUUUGCCAGUUUCUCCUUACAGAGCCCCAUUUAUUUCAAGUAUCUACCAACUCUAUAACUCUUUAAGUUAAAACAUCCUAAGAGAAACCCAAGAAUGACCUAUUUCCUGGAAGUUAAUAGUCUGACCCUGGGAAUUGCUUUUCUUCUUUAUGUGAAACCCCAGUUAUUGGGACAACCAAGGUCUUGAGGGAAUUUCCCUCCAAUAUCUGUAGUUCUUAACCUUUUUAUGGAUCAAGAACCCUUUUGAGAGUAUAACAAAAGCUAUGAUCUGUCUCUUGAGAAAAAUGUUCACACAUACAAAAUUUUGCAUACAUUUUAGGGAUUCAUAGCAUCCCUGAAGUUGGUGUAGGUUAAGAGUCCUAUUCUAAAUAGGGUUGUUUUCUUUAACAGAUGAGCAUUCAUACAGUCUGCCCUUCUUCAAUUCAAUAAAGAAAAAGUGAAGCUUAGCGAUAAGCCAGCCAUGGUAACCUUCAGACUCCAAAUAAUACUGUCCUUAAUAAUAAUAAUAUUCAAGUGUCAUGUUAGUAGUCUCUAUGGACAUCUCUAUUCUUCAUAAUAAUUUUUAUUUUUAUUUAAUGUUUGGAGAUGUUGUAAAAAGUGACUACUGUUUCAAAAUGUGACCUCUGUGAGGUUUAAAACCUACUGAAUCAGAUGAGAUAUGAAAGUAUUCAAUAUAAUAUAUGACUUAAAGCUAUGUUUUUUAAACUUUAAUAGGAAAUGUCUGACUCUUAGAUCACUGUUUCUAAAGUCUGGCAGACAGAAACAUGUCUUUUAAAAAGAUCUAAUUUAUACACCAAACAGAGAUCCAGCAGGUAGAAAUAAUGCCUUUCCCUUUUACCUCCUACAAACCUGAACCUUUAAUUUGCUUUGAAUAAAACUCAAUGCCAGCAACAUUUUAACAAUUAUAAUUCAUCUCUUUUUUUUUUUCAAAGACUUUUCAGAUAUUGUGCUAGACAGUGUGACACUGAGAUAAACAAAUCAUGGUCUUUAUCCUCAGAAAGCUCAUAGUCUUAGAACAGAUAUAUGUACACAGCCCAGCAGCCACUGAAGUGGCUUAGCAUCCAUUCCUAUCUUCCUCCCUCUUGGCAGAACUCCAUUUUUAUUCAGGUACCCACUCCUCCUCUACAUAAGCCAUAUGAUUUAGGGGAAACUGACCCAUACUGGGCUAAAUCAAUCAUGGGGAUCCUACACAAACUCUUGUUGAUGAUUGAUUCAGGUAUCCUGACUUCAGCAAUUAUCAUUGCUCAUUCCCUUGGUGAUGGCAGUUGGUUUGGGGAUGGACAUGGGACCUAAAUUGGCCUCAUUCUACCAAAAGGAAGAUCAACUAGGGGGAAAGUUGUCUCUUCUCUAGCUGUAUUGUCUCAAUUGGUAUUAGCAACUAUCUUGCUACCUUGGGGAAGUUAGCCUGAGGCUAAAGCUAAGACAUCUAGGAGGGCAGAUCUGAGAAAAUUAUAGAGAAUUGAAGUGGAAAACUACAUUGAAUGGUUUGAAACACACUAUACCUCAAAAUGGCUUUUAUGUAAGAUCGAUUUACUAUCUCCUUUUUGUUUAUUCUUAUUUGAGUAGGGAUUUAUGUCCAAUGCAACACCGAAACAUCCUGUCGCCCAUAUCAUUCUAGACAAGAGUGAUAGUGUCUCCCUGGUACGCUAAAGGACUCAUCAGAGGCACACAAAAGGAUGGACAUAAUCAUCCUGUGGGAACUUGCCAGAGGAAAGGAUGCUUGAGCUGAGUCUGAUGGUUGAAAAGGAGUUAGCUGAGCAAAUAUGGAAGGGAAAGGGAUUCUAAAGAGAAGAACAAGUGGACAGAAGUGUGUUGGUACCCUCAACGAUGUUGAGAGAGUUGUAUACCUAGAGUGAGAAGAGAUGGGAGACGUUCUGGCAGAUGAGAUGGAAGAGGCAGGCAAGGGCCAGAUCAUGAAGGGUCUUGCCAUGUGAAUGCGGAUUUUCUAUUAAGGUAAUUUGGAGCCACUGAAGGAUGUUAAGCACUGAAUGUUAAGCAUUUUGUAUUUUAUUUUAUUUUAAUUUCAGAGAGAGAGCAUGAGCAGGGAAGAGGGGCAGAGGGAGAGAAAGAGAGAAACUCAAGCAGUUGAUGUGGGGCUCAAUCCCACAACCCUGGGAUCAUGACCUGAACCAAAGAGUGAGACACUCAACCAACUGAGCCACCCAGGUGCCCCUCCAUUUUGUAUUUUAGAUAAUUGAUGGUGGCCAGUGUGAAAAGUGAAUUGGAGAGGACUGUUCUAGGGAUAGGAGAUCAGUUCAAGAGUCUACAUUUUGCUGAAAGACAUCCUUUGCCUCUCAGGCAUCCUCUCCUGAUAGGAGGCAACACGGGUCCUUUCUGGAGGUACAGAGCAAGUAUUUGUGAAGACUGGUACAGAGCCAUCACUAUUAAUCAAAAUCCAUAACAGGAUCCAUGUCAGCAAACAUUUGCUGAGUACUCAGAACUAGGAACAUUGUACAGGACCAUGGGAAGAGUUCUUUACUUGCUGUGUGACCUGAAGCUAGCUGCUUAACCUCUCUGAGAUUCCAUUUCCUUUUCUAUAAAAUGAGGCUUCUGUAGCUACCUUGCAUUGUCUAGGUGAGUUAAAUAACACUUAAAAGCAUUUAGCACUGGGCCUACCAAAUCACAGGGACGAGAUUAAUGCCUCACUGGCAUUAAUGAUGCCAUCUGAGUGACUGGAUGACAUGAAUGAUAGUUUGCCCUAUUUAUACUACAUAUGUGGUUCUAGAUUUGAAAAUGGCAGGCCCCAUACUUUACCACCAGAUGAACAAGGUAUCCUCACUGUCUUCUGAGGUAAGGUUAAUUCUUAUGAAAUUUUUAAAAACGAGGGCAGAUCUGCCCACAGGGAUUGCAGAAGCUUCUGCUCAGUCAUUAAUUAAAACAACAUGCUUCAGAGCCCUGCAGGUAUGUAACUCUCCAUUCUUGGGGCUCGAAAGGAAGUGACGCUGUAAAUUGCUUUGGAAUGAACUGAUAUGGGGUUUUCCAUAUGACACCCACAAAGGGCUACAGACACUAGGUUUUGGCCCAAGUGUGAAGGACAGGGACCAGCUGGUUUGUACAACCUACAAACAGGACAACUAAGAAAGGUGCUUGCCUGUGUUCCUUUCCAUGAGCUGGAUCUUUGGGUCCCCCAAGUUGACCAUGCGUAUUCAGGGGUGGAAGGGCAGAAGGAAAGUCUGGGGUCAGGCAGUGGGGAUCUGAUGCCAACCUGCAGAUGCUUUCACUUCAUCAGAAUUCUUGGGAGAUACAACAUGCAGUGGUUUAUAUCUUUGCCAUCACAGGCAUCUGAGUUUAAGUUUUGAUUUGCUCACUCAUUAGCUGUGUAACCUUGGGCAAGUGACCUAACUUCUCUGAGCUGUAAUUUUUUUCAUUUGUAAGAAUGGACUAUGCCUACCCCAAUCUUAUAAAGUGGGAGUAUGCCUACUCCUAGAGGUGUUGUGAGAAUUAAAUAAAAUGCAUAUGAAAAACAUGUACUCAGCAUAAUAUGUGACAGUAUGGUUAAUAAACGUAAGUUAUGAUGAUGAUUAUUAUUUAGAGUGGGCACCUGUAAUUUUGGGUCUGUCCAUCAAAUAGUUGCCCUUCUUAUUAGCACUUUCCUUUUGGGGAAUUACCUUUCCUGAAUUAGGUGUAGUCUUGGUGCCCUCUAGUGUGCUCACUGCCCACUUUAGAAGCUGAAGGGGUCCCUAGAGGCUCUGCCCAUAAGAUCUUUCCUUUCAUCAUCUGGUACAGCCAUGAAGUGAGCAUGUGACCGAGCUCAGCCAGUCAGAAUCUUUCUCCUGGGACUUUGAAUCAGGCAUAGAAUGAAGAAAGGAUAGAAGAAACUGUAGGGUGGUGCCUGAAGAAGACAGCAUUCCUUUCUCUCCUGUUGGUGUCUUAUAAAAUUUCUUUCUUGCUUAGGUAGCCAAUGUCCAUUUCUGUUACUUGCAAGCAAAGAAAUGAAACAUUACUUUUUGCCUUUAGGAACAAGUGUUUCCCUUCACUGCUUGCCUCUCUUCCUCUCUUUUUCACCCCAGUGUCCUACAGAAGAUGUUCCCAAACACAGCCUAUCUGUAUAGUUUCAUGCAUGUCUUCAAGAUAUUCUUUCUGCUUAGAUGCCCAUAUUCAACCCUCAUGCUCCAACAGGCAAAUUCAAGCCCUGGCUCAAAUGUUGCUUGCUUUGGGAAGCCUUCAACAACUGCCUUGACCCAGCAGUAUGAAAAUAUUUAAGUUCCUCCACCUUUUCCAUGCUUGUCUUGAAACCGUUAUGUACUUGCCUUGUUGUAUUAGGCUGUGUGCUGCCAUCUAGAUCCUAUUCUCUCUGGGAAUGGGGGCCAGACCUUAGUCUUGUUCCGUUUUGUGUCUCUAGUACCUGCCUGUUGAAUGAGUGAUAUUGCUCACAAAUAGAUGAAUUGCACAAUUUUGUGGGCAAGCAUUUAUAUUUGGGGUAUGUCCAGAUAACUUCAGAACAGUAGGCCAAUUCCACAGGCCAUCCAGCUCUCCCAGUAUGGUGUACAAAUGCAUCCUUGUCCCAGUUAUCCAUACUGACAAUCUGGAUUGAGCCAAAAUGUUUAAGAUCAUUGUCCCAACCCCUACUUUGAGAGGAACAACAGGAACUAAGUCUUGUAUGGCUCUGAUCACACACCAUGCACCCAACAAAUACUAACUCAUUUGAUCCUAGUAAUACCCCUAUGAAGUAGAUGCUGCUAUUUCCCCCCAUGCCACAGAUGAGGAAACAGAGGCACAGGGAGGUCAAGUCUAACAAGAGAAGAGCUAAGUUUCCUACCUAGGCUGUGCUCUUCCAUAUGACACUGGUUCCUCUGGAGUCCCUGAGGAAUGAGCAGACUCAGCUCAUUCUGUCAGCAGUCAUCUGUUUCACGAGUUGGGGGUUAGAAACAGAACAGAGGUGGCCAUCUGAAUCCAGAAUCUGUGACAUGGACAUCUGUCCACUUUGUAAGAAGCACUGAUAGUGGGUGAAGAGCACAGACACAGAGGAGCCACAUUUUUAGCUAAGCUCCGGUUGGGUAGUGAUGAGGAGGGAGGGAAAUCCUUCUGUGAUAUUUGAAAAUACUGAGAUAGCCAGAGGUACACCUUGUGCCAGGAAGAGUCACACUAUUAGCCUUGGCUAAAUUUACCAAGCAGGGGUUGACAGGCAGUGAAGGUACUCAUUCAAUGCUCAGGUUUUUACGUCAAAGAGUCCUCAAUGUGAGGCCUGGCUCUGCUGUUCGCUACAGUAUGUGUGACCUCGGACAAAUUACUUAACUACCAUGUGGCUCAGUGUCCUCAUCUGUAAAAUGGGGCAUGAUAAAAGUCUCAGAGGAUAGUAUAGUUAUGUAAACUAACUAUUACAUGGAAAUUACUUAGUAUAUCUGGCAUCUGCUCCAUGGUUACAUACAUAAAUUUAGUACAAAAUCCCUGCUAGUUACGGGAGAUUUAGUGAGCAGCAGCACUUGGGGUCUUUAGUGGUCAAUGGGAAGGAAAGGAGCAAGGGUAAGGAGAGAGUUGCUCCUCCUCCACUUUACCAGGGAGAGCUCAACCCUUAAGAAUUCACACUGCUUUCUCUGUAUGGCUUAUUUCACUUAGCAUUACACUCUCCAGUUCCAUCCACGUUGCUACAAAAGGCCAUAUUUCAUUUUUUCUCAUUGCCACAUAGUAUUCCAUUGUGUAUAUAUACCACAAUUUCUUUAUCCAUUCAUCAGUUGAUGGACAUUUAGGCUCUUUCCAUAAUUUGGCUAUUGUUGAGAGUGCUGCUAUGAACAUUGGGGUACAAGUGCCCCUAUGCAUCAGUACUCCUGUAUCCCUUGGAUAAAUUCCUAGCAGUGCUAUUGCUGGGUCAUAGGGUAGGUCUAUUUUUAAUUUUCUGAGGAACCUCCACACUGCUUUCCAGAGCGGCUGCACCAAUUUGCAUUCCCACCAACAGUGCAAGAGGGUUCCCGUUUCUCCACAUCCUCUCUAGCAUCUAUAGUCUCCUGAUUCGUUCAUUUUGGCCACUCUGACUGGCGUGAGGUGAUACCUGAGUGUGGUUUUGAUUUGUAUUUCCCUGAUAAGGAGCGACGCUGAACAUCUUUUCAUGUGCCUGUUGGCCAUCUGGAUGUCUUCUUUAGAGAAGUGUCUAUUCAUGUUUUCUGCCCAUUUCUUCACUGGGUUAUUUGUUUUUCGGGUGUGGAGUUUGGUGAGCUCUUUAUAGAUUUUAGAUACUAGCCCUUUGUCCGAUAUGUCAUUUGCAAAUAUCUUUUCCCAUUCCGUUGGUUGCCUUUUAGUUUUGUUGGUUGUUUCCUUUGCUGUGCAGAAGCUUUUUAUCUUCAUAAGGUCCCAGUAAUUCACUUUUGCUUUUAAUUCCCUUGCCUUUGGGGAUGUGUCGAGUAAGAGAUUGCUACGGCUGAGGUCAGAGAGGUCUUUUCCUGCUUUCUCCUCUAAGGUUUUGAUGGUUUCCUGUCUCACAUUUAGGUCCUUUAUCCAUUUUGAGUUUAUUUUUGUAAAUGGUGUGAGAAAGUGGUCUAGUUUCAACCUUCUGCAUGUUGCUGUCCAGUUCUCCCAGCACCAUUUGUUAAAGAGGCUGUCUUUUUUCCAUUGGAUGUUCUUUCCUGCUUUGUCAAAGAUGAGUUGGCCAUACGUUUGUGGGUCUAGUUCUGGGGUUUCUAUUCUAUUCCAUUGGUCUGUGUGUCUGUUUUUGUGCCAAUACCAUGCUGUCUUGAUGAUGACAGCUUUGUAGUAGAGGCUAAAGUCUGGGAUUGUGAUGCCUCCUGCUUUGGUCUUCUUCUUCAAAAUUCCUUUGGCUAUUCGGGGCCUUUUGUGGUUCCAUAUGAAUUUUAGGAUUGCUUGUUCUAAUUUCGAGAAGAAUGCUGGUGCAAUUUUGAUUGGGAUUGCAUUGAAUGUGUAGAUAGCUUUGGGUAGUAUUGACAUUUUGACAAUAUUUAUUUUUCCAAUCCAUGAGCAGGGAAUGUCUUUCCAUUUCUUUAANAAAAAAAAAAAAAAAAAGAAUUCACACUGCUGGGGCGCCUCAGCAGCUCAGUUGGUGAAGCGUCCGACUCUUGAUUUCAGCUCAGGUCAUGUUCUCACAGUUCAUGGGUUCGAGCCCCGUGCUGGGCUCUGCACUGACAGUGCAGACCCUGCUUGGGAUUCUGUCUCCCUUUCUCUCUGCCCCUCCCCAACUUGCUCUCUGUCUCUCAAAAUAAAUAAAAAUAAACUUAAAAAAAAUCUUUCCUUUAAAAAAAGUAAUUAACACUGUCACCUGAAGUCUGGCAAGCCAGCCACUUCUCUGCAGAAGUCCACUCGGUUUAUAAACCCAAGACAGGGUGUGUGGUUUUCACACCCAGUUAUCAGGGCUCAUGACUCUGCAGAAUUAAUCUGUGUGAACAAACCCAGUGUCUUUUUACUACUCUUCCCCUUUCGAAUUUCUAAUUAAAAAAACAAAAACAAAAUCAAAAACAACCCUUCAACGAUGAGCUUGGUCAAAAAGGCUUAUUUUACUACUAGUGCCUUUUUUCAAAGAGCUACUGUUAUUUGUCAUAAAUCCUGAGCAUUCUGUUGGCUGUGACAGCCAGUGCUUGGGUGAAGUUAGCAAGAGCCUCGUUUCAAGGAGAAGUUGAGGUGUGAUUUGCCCACAGUCCAUCAGAGUGUAUGUGCCCUUGGCCCUAGGAUUCGGGGAGGAAGGGCUCCAACCCACCCAAUCCAUUUAAAGCUUCCAAUUUUGCAGAUUCUGUAUUCAGAUACUUAAAUCCCUCAAAUGCCUACCACAGGAACCACACUUCAUCACAAAGCUCUCCAUUAGCUGCAGACCAAGCAAAUAUACACAAAUAAAUUACAUUUGUAUAAUAUAAGAAAUAUAUUAUCUUAAUGCAUCUGUCUCAACUUUUAAUAACCACAGUUUAUUUCCAUGGCUCACAAAUUAGACCCAAUUCCCUGAGACAUCUUCCGGUGUAAACAUAUGAAGGUGUUAUUGAACUCCAGGAGUCUAAAGCACACUUAAAACAUGUUAAUAGGGGCGCCUGGGUGGCUCAGUCGGUUAAGCGUCCGACUUCAGCUCAGGUCACGAUCUCACGGCCCGUGAGUUCGAGUCCCGCGUCCAGCUCUGGGCUUAUGGCUCAGAGCCUGGAGCCUGCUUCCGAUUCUGUGUCUCCCUCUCUCUCUGCCCCUCCCCCGUUCAUGCUCUGUCUCUCUCUGUCUCAAAAAUAAAAAAUAAAAACGUUAAGAAAGGUUUUAAAAAAAACAACAUGUUAAUAAACCCUCUCCAUGUAGGAUUUUAUAGGAUGAAAAUAAAUCUGUUGCUGUGUCCCCUUUCUGUUCUAUUAGUGCUGAACAUUGAGACAUGUGACUGAUACACUAAAUAACGUUCUCAAAAGGCAAAUCCCACAACCUGGAGACCUCUUGGGAUUGUGUUAAGUGUUGUCACUCCACGGUUGGCAUCAGUAUGAACUCCCACCACUAGAAUAUGGAACAAUUUAUAACAUAACAAUUAAAAGAAAUAUUGACUUAAACAUGCACUCAGCAGGGGGCUGGUGACCCCAGGAACCAGCAGAAGGAAGAGUAUCGUGCCAUGUACAGUGUCCCGAAGGGUUCUGAGCAAUUCAAAUGACUGAAGAGCACGAUGUAUCUCGAGAGGUACACUCUUCUCCUCUUUAUGUUACCUGAGGUUGAAGUUAAAAAUGACACUUUCUCUUCCACCCAGCUUUUGCACUACACUGAAGGAUUGAGCUGUAUAAAAAUGCAGUCUCUAAAAUGCAAGGACUCAGUGCUUGCCAGUUUCACAAUUUUGCAGAUUCUAAUUAGGAAACUGUUUCACGGAUCCUUCUCCUGAUGCUGCAAGGGAGACUAGGAACGUUACAAAGCUGCAUUUAGUGUUGCCUGAAUGAUUGUAAAACUCCCUACCCACCACCCCCCACCAACCCCAAAAAACCAUCAGCUUAUAUCCCAACCCCCAUCUCAGUUCUCCUAUACUUUCAUCUUGUUCCUAGGAUCCACUAAAGUAAAUAAGAUGUCCACUCAGAUAAUGGAAACCCCACCAGCUCUCAGUUAGUGCCUUUUCAUGCCAAUUAAACACAUUUUAUACAGUCAUCGUAGAUGCAUCAAUGACUGCAUUCGGAGACGCCAGUAGGGCUCGGCUGAUAUCAGCCGAGCAAAUGAAAUGUAUUUCAUGUGAGUUUUCUUUCUGUCUUAUUCUAACCACUUGGCAACGGUCUCAAUUGAAAACAUUGAUUCUGAAAGAUAUAUAUGGAUAUAUAAACUGAUUAACCAGCUUAUUUGCUGCUGAUUACUUUACUAAUCAAGAUCUCAGAGUGCUUAAUUUAAAUUAAUACUUCCUUCAUUAAUGAAAAUCCAGCUUAGAGCAUAAAAAAAUCUUGACAGAUGCAUUUAUUGCAUAAACAUACAUUUAUCUACACCAAGGCAAUUGAACAUACAAUCAUAUUUGGUUGAGGUUAUAAUUGAUAAUGAUUCUAUAAUUAUUACUUCAGUUAGGUGAGUGUUGUUUGCCAGUUACUCUGACAUUCUAAUAGGGUUUUCUCCUUUUGGAGGCUUUGAGGAGCCUGUGGGACAUACAGGGAUGUAUGCAAAACAAACUCAGAACAUUGGGUUACUUUUGAGAUAAGGAGCAAGAUAUUCUUGCUUCUCUUUCCCCAGCGCUACACACACACACGCACACACACACACACACACAAAGGAAGGCAGGCUGACUUCCUAGUGUAGUAAAAAUAGAAAAGGGGACAAAAGGUGUCCAAUGUGAAGACCCAGGGAUUAAGCAAUAUUGGGCUAUUGAUUAACUAGUGUAUUGGUCACCUGAUAUUUGUGGCAGCCAAAUACCAGGGUCUCCCCCUUCUUGGAGUUUAUGGGCCAAGAUGUGUGAGCAGGUUGUGCUGCGGGUAGACUCGCAGUCAGCCAGCCAGCCCACAGUGACAGCGACCAGGCGUCUAGAAGCCCCACUGGGUUGUGAAAUGAACAAGGCCCUCUGUGCCCCUGAUCAGGCCUGUGUGAGCCCCCGGGCUCCAGGAGCGAGCAUCUCCUAGCUCCUAAAGAGCUGACAUAUAUCCUGCCUUUAAGACAAGACUACAAUUGCAAAUCCGAGAAUAUAAAUUACUCUUUCAUCUUU